rnacentral:rRNA from 1 species
CGGGGAGCAGCAGGCGCGAAACCUUUACACUACACGCAAGUGUGAUAAGGGGAUUCCGAGUGCCUAUACUAAGUAUAGGCUUUUUUCGAGAGCAAAAUUCUCGUAGAAUAAGUGGUGGGUAAGACCGGUGCCAGCAGCGCGGUAA